AAAGUCGUAACAAGGUUUCCGUAGGUGAACCUGCGGAAGGAUCAUUAACACGUAUCCACGUAUCAACCAAACGGCAACUGUACCUCCCUGGUAAUUGUUGAGCUGUUGACCCGAGUCAUGGUGGGUAUGCAUUCGUGCAUACGACCCGGGUAGACUAGGGCUUCGAGCCCAAGGCACAACGCUUUAUCAGGCUUUUCUUUCCCAUCAUAUAUACCUUUCUACCUUAAGGUACGAUGGGAAUCUAACCAACCUAUUUCACCCUACUUAUCAACAUUUGACUAAUACUAUUCACUUGGAGAAAUCCAAGCUUGAAUUGAGUUAUCUUAACUAAGCACAACUCUUAGCAAUGGAUAUCUUGGUUCUC
rnacentral:misc_RNA from 1 species